CCACCCGUAGCUCAGCUGGAUAGAGCACAUGCCUCCGGAGCAUGAGGUCGCGCGUUCGAAUCGCGCCGGGUGGGCCA
rnacentral:tRNA from 1 species